rnacentral:tRNA from 1 species
GCAGCUUUAGCUCAGUUGGUAGAGCAAAUGACUCUUAAUCAUUGGGCCCAGGGUUCGAGUCCCUGAAGCUGCACCA